GACGAACGCUGGCGGCGUGCUUAACACAUGCAAGUCGAACGAAGUGGCGCACGGGUGAGUAACGCGUAAUCAACCUGCCCUUCAGAGGGGGACAACAGUUGGAACCGACUGCUAAUACCGCAUACUGCAGGCGGGGUUUGCGUCUGAUUAGCUAGUUGGAGGGGUAACGGCCCAACAAGGCGAUGAUCAGUAGCCGGUCUGGGAGGAUGAACGGCCAAAAGGGGACUGAGACACGGCCCAGACUCCUACGGGAGGCAGCAGUGGGGAAUCGUCCGCAAUGGACGAAAGUCUGACGAAGCAACGGCGCGUGAGUGAUGAAGGGCUUCGGGUUGUAAAGCUCUGUUAAUCGGGACGCGGUACCGGAAUAGAAAGCCACGGCUAACUACGUGCCAGCAGCCGCGGUAAUAC
rnacentral:rRNA from 1 species